rnacentral:rRNA from 1 species
UACGUAGGGGGCGAGCGUUGUCCGAAGUUACUGGGUUUAAAGGGUGUGUAGGCGGGCAGUUAAGUCAGUGGUGAAAUCUCCAGGCUCAACCUGGAAACUGCCAUUGAUACUAUCUGUCUUGAAUUCUGUUGAGGUGGGCGGAAUACAUCAUGUAGCGGUGAAAUGCUUAGAUAUGAUGUAGAACACCGAUUGCGAAGGCAGCUCACUAAGCAGCGAUUGACGCUGAGGCACGAAAGCGUGGGGAUCAAACAGG